UGCAGUAGAACGCUGAAGAGAGGAGCUUGCUCUUCUUGGAUGAGUUGCGAACGGGUGAGUAACGCGUAGGUAACCUGCCUUGUAGCGGGGGAUAACUAUUGGAAACGAUAGCUAAUACCGCAUAACAAUGGAUGACACAUGUCAUUUAUUUGAAAGGGGCAAUUGCUCCACUACAAGAUGGACCUGCGUUGUAUUAGCUAGUAGGUGAGGUAAUGGCUCACCUAGGCGACGAUACAUAGCCGACCUGAGAGGGUGAUCGGCCACACUGGGACUGAGACACGGCCCAGACUCCUACGGGAGGCAGCAGUAGGGAAUCUUCGGCAAUGGGGGCAACCCUGACCGAGCAACGCCGCGUGAGUGAAGAAGGUUUUCGGAUCGUAAAGCUCUGUUGUAAGUCAAGAACGGGUGUGAGAGUGGAAAGUUCACACUGUGACGGUAGCUUACCAGAAAGGGACGGCUAACUACGUGCCAGCAGCCGCGGUAAUACGUAGGUCCCGAGCGUUGUCCGGAUUUAUUGGGCGUAAAGCGAGCGCAGGCGGUUUGAUAAGUCUGAAGUUAAAGGCUGUGGCUCAACCAUAGUUCGCUUUGGAAACUGUCAAACUUGAGUGCAGAAGGGGAGAGUGGAAUUCCAUGUGUAGCGGUGAAAUGCGUAGAUAUAUGGAGGAACACCGGUGGCGAAAGCGGCUCUCUGGUCUGUAACUGACGCUGAGGCUCGAAAGCGUGGGGAGCGAACAGGAUUAGAUACCCUGGUAGUCCACGCCGUAAACGAUGAGUGCUAGGUGUUGGAUCCUUUCCGGGAUUCAGUGCCGCAGCUAACGCAUUAAGCACUCCGCCUGGGGAGUACGACCGCAAGGUUGAAACUCAAAGGAAUUGACGGGGGCCCGCACAAGCGGUGGAGCAUGUGGUUUAAUUCGAAGCAACGCGAAGAACCUUACCAGGUCUUGACAUCCCGAUGCUAUUUCUAGAGAUAGAAAGUUACUUCGGUACAUCGGUGACAGGUGGUGCAUGGUUGUCGUCAGCUCGUGUCGUGAGAUGUUGGGUUAAGUCCCGCAACGAGCGCAACCCCUAUUGUUAGUUGCCAUCAUUCAGUUGGGCACUCUAGCGAGACUGCCGGUAAUAAACCGGAGGAAGGUGGGGAUGACGUCAAAUCAUCAUGCCCCUUAUGACCUGGGCUACACACGUGCUACAAUGGUUGGUACAACGAGUUGCGAGUCGGUGACGGCGAGCUAAUCUCUUAAAGCCAAUCUCAGUUCGGAUUGUAGGCUGCAACUCGCCUACAUGAAGUCGGAAUCGCUAGUAAUCGCGGAUCAGCACGCCGCGGUGAAUACGUUCCCGGGCCUUGUACACACCGCCCGUCACACCACGAGAGUUUGUAACACCCGAAGUCGGUGAGGUAACC
rnacentral:rRNA from 1 species